UACGAAGGGGGCUAGCGUUGUUCGGAAUCACUGGGCGUAAAGCGCACGUAGGCGGAUGUGCCAGUCAGGGGUGAAAUCCCGGAGCUCAACUUCGGAACUGCCUCUGAUACAGCACGUCUUGAGUCCGGAAGAGGUGGGUGGAAUUCCUAGUGUAGAGGUGAAAUUCGUAGAUAUCAGGAGGAACACCUAUAGCGAAGGCAGCUUGCUGGGACGAAACUGACGCUAAGGCGCGAAAGCGUGGGUAGCGAACAGG
rnacentral:rRNA from 1 species